AUUGAACGCUGGCGGCAGGCCUAAAACAUGCAAGUAGAGCGGAGCGGCGUACGGGGGAGUAAUGCAUAGGAAUCUGCCUGGUAGUGGGGGAGAACGUCCGGAAACGGGCGCUAAUACCGCAUACUAUCAGAUGAGCCUAGGUCGGAUUAGCAAGUUGGUGGGGUAAAGGCCUACCAAGGCGACGAUCCGUAACUGGUCUGAGAGGAUGAUCAGUCACACUGGAACUGAGACACGGUCCAGGCGCCUACGGUAGGCAGCAGUGGGGAAUAGUGGACAAUUGGCGAAAGCCUGAUCCAGCCAUGCCGCGUGUGUGAAGAAGGUCUUCGGAUUGUAAAGCACUUUAAGUUGGGAGGCGUUACCAACAGAAUAAGCACCGGCUAACUUCGUGCCAGCAGCCGCGGUAAUUC
rnacentral:rRNA from 1 species